rnacentral:rRNA from 1 species
UACGUAGGGUGCAAGCGUUGUCCGGAAUUAUUGGGCGUAAAGAGCUCGUAGGCGGUUUGUCGCGUCGAAUGUGAAACCCGGGGCUCAACCCCGGGCCUGCAUUCGAUACGGGCAGACUAGAGUUCGGUAGGGGAGUCUGGAAUUCCUGGUGUAGCGGUGAAAUGCGCAGAUAUCAGGAGGAACACCGGUGGCGAAGGCGGGACUCUGGGCCGAUACUGACGUGAGGAGCGAAAGC